rnacentral:rRNA from 1 species
UGGGGGAUAUUGCACAAUGGGCGAAAGCCUGAUGCAGCGACGCCGCGUGGGGGAUGAAGGCCUUCGGGUUGUAAACUUCUUUUGCUCUGAACAAGGCAUGCUAAUGGGUGUGUUGAGUGUAGGGGUUGAGUAGCGCCGGCUAACUACGUGCCAGCAGCCGCGGUAAUACGUAGGGCGCGAGCGUUGUCCGGAAUUAUUGGGCGUAAAGGGCUUGUAGGUGGCUGGUUGCGUCUGUCGUGAAAGCUCAUGGCUUAACUGUGGGUUUGCGGUGGGUACGGGCUGGCUUGAGUGCAGUAGGGGAGGCUGGAAUUCCUGGUGUAGCGGUGGAAUGCGCAGAUAUCAGGAGGAAUGCCGGUGGCGAAGGCGGGUCUCUGGGCUGUUACUGACACUGAGGAGCGAAAGCAUGGGGAGCGAACAGG